UGCACAGCAGGGAGCUGGUGGAUCUUUUGCAGUGAAGGCUGCAGGCAGGCCUCUGGGAGCGGAGGCGAUAUCUGGACCACUGGAAUCACACAGAAACCCACGGCUAGAGGCCAGAGUAGUUACAACAAAGCACUGGCUCAGAAUAACAUACUUCCAGCUUACUUAAAGGCAGCACAAGCACGGGAUUGGCUAACACUUACCCACAGGUGUUUCACAAGUGCUCCCAGGUGCUCAUUUGGUCUCCAACAUGGCCGCCUCCUAUACUGUAGACACACAGCGGUGCCUUUGGCCAUUUGGUCCCCGCACUCCCGGCUCCCAGAACCUGCAUCACCUCUGCUGCUGACCACGCCGCAUCCCCACAUGGCCGCACAGCACCGCGAGCAACCGCGCUUGCAACGGACAGACCCCAGAACCCGCAGAGGUUUUCAUUCCAUCCACAUAUUAUCUGCCAGAUAAUUGUAUAGUGUAUGCCCAGCUUAAGGAGGAGGAGUCGGACAUGGCCAGGGAAAAGUCCCCCAGCUGAAAGAGGGCUACGUGUUCCACAAACGGCGAUUACGUCAUGCAUCUUGGAGGAAGAUUUAGUACGCGCCCAGCAGCAAAGGUAUAUGUGCAUAAGCUUUACAGCCGAAGACACGGAGAUGAUUGAGAGCUGGCUUUUUCUUGGACCACGCCUCCAGGGGCAUCUUAACUUUUAUGGCUACAGUGGGCACACAGUUUUUAAGAUAUACUGUAAUAGAUACUGCUUCCGCCCAAAAGCUUUUUUCCAUGCCUGCGUCACUCAACAUUGUCUGUACUCUCUCAACAAUUGUAUGAUUUGCACACUCACUCACACCAUUUUGUUCUGGCAUGUAAGCAAUUGUUAGUUGAUGCUGUAUACCAUAUUUUUCCAGGAACUGUGCUAAAACUUUGUUGUCAUACUCUCUGCCAUUGUCGGAUCUCAAGACUUUUAAUUUCAGACCUGUUUUUAGUCUCAACCAGGUUCUUGUAUUCCCCAAUUUUAUUGACAACUUCUCUUUUAGCUUUCAUGAAAUAUACAUGUGUCAUC